rnacentral:rRNA from 1 species
UACGUAGGUGGCAAGCGUUGUCCGGAUUUAUUGGGCGUAAAGCGAGCGCAGGCGGAAAGAUAAGUCUGAUGUGAAAGCCCCCGGCUUAACCGAGGAAUUGCAUCGGAAACUGUGUUUCUUGAGUGCAGAAGAGGAGAGUGGAACUCCAUGUGUAGCGGUAAAAUGCGUAGAUAUCUGGAGGAACAUCAGUGGCGAAGGCGGCCACCUGGACCGGUAUUGACGCUGAGGCGCGAAAGCGUGGGGAGCAAACAGG